rnacentral:rRNA from 1 species
UACAGAGGUCCCAAGCGUUGUUCGGAUUUACUGGGCGUAAAGGGUGCGUAGGCGGUCGGGUAAGUCUGGUGUGAAAUCUUCGAGCUUAACUCGGAAACUGCAUUGGAUACUAUUCGGCUAGAGAGUUGGAGGGGGGGUUGGAAUACUUGGUGUAGCAGUGAAAUGCGUAGAUAUCAAGUGGAACACCAGUGGCGAAGGCGAAUCCCUGGACAACUUCUGACGCUGAGGCACGAAAGCUAGGGGAGCAAACAGG